AAUGAACGCUGGCGGCAUGCCUAACACAUGCAAGUCGAACGAAGGCUUCGGCCUUAGUGGCGCACGGGUGCGUAACGCGUGGGAAUCUGCCCCUUGGUUCGGAUUAACAGUUAGAAAUGACUGCUAAUACCGGACGAUGACGUAAGUCCAAAGAGUUAUCGCCGAGGGAUGAGCCCGCGUAGGAUUAGCUAGUUGGUGUGGUAAGAGCGCACCAAGGCGACGAUCCUUAGCUGGUCUGAGAGGAUGAUCAGCCACACUGGGACUGAGACACGGCCCAUAAUCCUACGGGGGGCAGCAGGGGGGAAUAUUGGACAAUGGGCGAAAGCCUGAUGCAGGAAUGCCGCGUGAGUGAUGAGGGCAUUAGGGUUGUAAAGCUCUUUUCCCCGGGAUGAUAAUGACAGUACCGGGAGAAUAAGCUCCGGCUAACUCCGUGCCAGCCGCCGCCGUAA
rnacentral:rRNA from 1 species